rnacentral:rRNA from 1 species
CAUCGCCCGGGAACUACGAGCCAAGCUUAAAACCCAAAGGACUUGACGGUACCCCAUAUCCACCUAGAGGAGCCUGUCCUAUAAUCGAUAACCCCCGCUUAACCUCACCAUUUUUUGCUAUAUCAGCCUGUAUACCUCCGUCGUCAGCUUACCUCGUGAGCGAAGUCUAGUGAGCUUAAUGUCCUUACAUCAAUACGUCAGGUCAAGGUGCAGUAAAUGAAAUGGGAAGAGAUGGGCUACACUCUCUAACUUAGAAUACACGGAAGACUAUAUAUGAAAUCCUAGUCACAAGGCGGAUUUAGUAGUAAAAAGAAACCAUAGUGUCCUUUUUAACCCGGCACUGGGGUGUGUACAC